rnacentral:lncRNA from 1 species
CAUCAAAUAUCAUGAAAAUACGAAAAAAAUCGGCUAAAAAGGUCAAAAUUCUCACCGGGACCCAAUUUAGGGUUCUAGCACGGUGAUGCCACCAUGCUCAGUCGCCAGUUUCACCUUUUACAGUCCUCUCGAUCAGGCAAGUUUCGGCCAGUUCUGGAUGAAAACCUGCACAAUUCGUGGUUAGGUGGCUUUUGUUGGUUGAAAAAGGAGGAAAAUUGAAAUUUACCAGCAGUUCUGAUUUUUCGGUGCUGCGGUUCCGCUGCUUCUCCUUCGUGAUCGCAACUUUCAUUCGAUUACCUUGCACCAAAAACAUGUUAGAUAGCCUAGGGUCAAGAAAUAAAAAAAAUAAGAAAAGGAUUUGAACUCAUUAAAGUGGUUUUUUGGUUUCAGGUAUGGCAACUUAACCAAGUUCUGCCAUUCGUUUCUGGCUUCCCCUCGGGUUUUCCAACAUCGAUAAGGAUUUUGGGAAGUUUAGAAUGGAAAAAAAGAAUGAAUGGGAGAAAAAUUCACUUACCGGCAUCGAUUUGGGCCUCUGUUGCAACAGUGAGGUGGUCAGCUUCCUAUUCUCCAGUGACUGGUUCAUUUUUCAGCCACUCUUCUUCUUCUUCUCUAGUGGUCU